UACGUAGGGGGCAAGCGUUGUCCGGAUUUAUUGGGCGUAAAGAGCGUGUAGGCGGCCAGAAAAGUCCGCUGUGAAAACUCGAGGCUCAACUUCGAGCUGUCGGUGGAAACUUUCUGGCUAGAGUCCGGAAGAGGAGAAUGGAAUUCCUGGUGUAGCGGUGAAAUGCGCAGAUAUCAGGAAGAACACCCGUGGCGAAGGCGGUUCUCUGGGAUGGUACUGACGCUGAGACGCGAAAGCGUGGGGAGCGAACAGG
rnacentral:rRNA from 1 species